rnacentral:rRNA from 1 species
UACGGAGGGAGCUAGCGUUGUUCGGAAUUACUGGGCGUAAAGUGCGCGUAGGCGGCUUUGUAAGUUAGAGGUGAAAGCCCGGGGCUCAACCCCGGAAUUGCCUUUAAGACUGCAUCGCUUGAAUCCGGGAGAGGUGAGUGGAAUUCCGAGUGUAGAGGUGAAAUUCGUAGAUAUUCGGAAGAACACCAGUGGCGAAGGCGGCUCACUGGACCGGCAUUGACGCUGAGGUGCGAAAGCGUGGGGAGCAAACAGG